GAUGAACGCUGGCGGCGUGCCUAAUACAUGCAAGUCGAGCGAACGGACGAGAAGCUUGCUUCUCUGAUGUUAGCGGCGGACGGGUGAGUAACACGUGGAUAACCUACCUAUAAGACUGGGAUAACUUCGGGAAACCGGAGCUAAUACCGGAUGAUAUUUUGAACCGCAUGGUUCAAAAGUGAAAGAAGGUCUUGCUGUCACUUAUAGAUGGAUCCGCGCUGCAUUAGCUAGUUGGUAAGGUAACGGCUUACCAAGGCAACGAUGCAUAGACGACCUGAGAGGGUGAUCGGACACACUGGAACUGAGACACGGUCCAGACUCCUACGGGAGGCAGCAGUAGGGAAUCUUCCGCAAUGGGCGAAAGCCUGACGGAGCAACGCCGCGUGAGUGAUGAAGGUCUUCGGAUCGUAAAACUCUGUUAUUAGGGAAGAACAUAUGUGUAAGUAACUGUGCACAUCUUGACGGUACCUAAUCAGAAAGCCACGGCUAACUACGUG
rnacentral:rRNA from 1 species